CGAAAGUAAAAUGAUAUUGUUCUAUAAAAAGAGUAUACGAAUUUACAAUAGGUAUCAGUUUUUGCUAAACAUCUCAAUCGACUUGAAACACCCAUAAUAUGAAAUUUACAAUUGUUGCCCUGGCUCUUUUGGUAUCAUCAGCCUAUGCUGCUGUUUUACUUCCCGCCGCAUCGGUACCAUUGGUUCGUUAUUCCGUUCCAGCUGCAGUUCCCUUAGCUCCCGCCUUAGUUCAAUAUGUCCGCCCAUUGACACCAGUACAAACAACAUAUGUACGUCCUGCAACUUAUUUCACUCGUACCGAUUAUUUGCGACAUAAGUAAUUCAAAAAAUUCUCUCAAUACAUGAUUGAGAAAUAAAAUAAAAAUAUUUUAGAGAAAAA